GGAAGAGCGAGAGCGACGUCAGCUGUUGACUAAUGGGAAGAGCUGAUAGUGUGAGGUGGGAGUAAGAGUGGCAGCGAUUGGUCGGCCUUGGUUGCCUGCGCCUAGGCGGGAGCUCCUGGAAGCCGAGGCUGCGGGUGGGGGCCUAGUGGACUGGAGGGGUAACAAGAUGGCGUCGGAGACGGUGGAGCUCCAUAAGCUGAAGCUUGCUGAACUAAAGCAGGAAUGUCUUGCUCGUGGUUUGGAGACCAAGGGAAUAAAACAAGAUCUCAUCAACAGGCUCCAGGCAUAUCUUGAAGAGCAUGCUGAAGAGGAGGCAAAUGAAGAAGAUGUACUGGGAGAUGAAACAGAGGAAGAAGAACCAAAGCCCAUAGAACUGCCUAUCAAAGAGGAAGAACCCCCUGAGAAAACUGUUGAUAUGACAACAGAGAAGAAAGUGGUAAAAAUUACAUCUGAGAUACCACAGACUGAGAGAAUGCAGAAGAGAGCUGAGCGAUUCAAUGUACCUGUGAGCUUAGAGAGUAAAAAAGCUGCUCGGGCAGCAAGAUUUGGGAUUUCUUCAGUUCCAUCAAAAGGCCUGUCUUCUGAUGCCAAGCCUAUGGUUAACCUUGAUAAACUAAAGGAAAGAGCUCAAAGAUUUGGUUUGAAUGUCUCUUCAAUCUCCAGAAAGUCUGAAGAUGAUGAGAAACUGAAAAAGAGGAAGGAGCGAUUUGGGAUUGUCACAAGUUCGGCUGGAACAGGAACCACAGAGGAUACAGAGGCAAAGAAGAGGAAAAGGGCAGAGCGCUUUGGGAUUGCCUGAUGAAAAGCUCUUAAUGCUUUCUGUUCUCCAGUGGUUUCCAUCUCUCUGACUUUUCUUGGUCAUAUAUAUAAAUGCACAGUCAUGUGCCUAGGUCCUGCCUCACAGUGAGAGAGCAUGUACCCCGGGUACAUCCAGGAACUUCAGCAGCAAUUUGACUCAUUGCUGUUCCAACUUUAAGGUUCAAGUGCUGGAUUGUGUCAUGUGACCAUCCCAAAACUCAGAGCACCCUAUGGCCAUCCUUGCCCUCUGUCACAUAACUUGAAAACUGCCAGAUGGCCUUUUUGCAAUGGUUCCCUCCAGGAAGCCUUGAUCUCAGUGAAGAAGUCCUUUCCCGGCAUUCCAGUGCCCCUGUCAUCCCCAUACUCCUCAGUCACCCUUAACAAACAAAGGCAAUCACACACAUGGUGUAACAAAUACACAAAGUAAAUAAUAAUUACACUACUUAUGAUCAGAGGGGCACUGGCCAGGUCCACACACAACAUAAAGUGGGAGAGGGGGUGCUAGUUCCCACUAGGUUGCUGGACUGUGCCUCCAAGCCUCUUUAACCCCAUGCCUCUUUGGGGGUGAGGGGGACCAAGGAAAUGAGAUUUCAACUCUUAGAUUUAUGUUCAAAAGAAAAAGACCCUCCCCCAACAAAGGUCAUUAUUUGGCGGUGUUAAAGUGGCAUAGUCUAAGUGUCCCCCAAGUCUAAUGCUCCAGCUCUCUAGAAUUUAUAGAGGGAAGUCACCUGAUGUCUAUUGCCCAACCCCCACCCUGUGCCAAGAUCAGGAGACCGGAGCAUUUGAUCUUGGAGGAGGCAUCUUCUGUUCUUCACUUCUCUGUUCCUCUCCUUCAACCAAGGAAAUGUGAAUGGUGUUGUCAGGUGUAUCUUGUUCUCCAAGAUUGGGGUAGAAGGAAGAAUGAAGAACAGGGCCAGAGAGGAGAGGCUGGGGGUUAGCAUAGCUGUUAUAUGGGAGGCGAGUUGAAAUACUUAACAGCCCUUGCCCAUUCCUGUACCAAAACACCUCAUCUCAUUUUUUCACUAUGGGAAUGGGAAGAAGAUACUAAAGCUCACCAACAUCACCUUCCCAAGGGUGGUCACAUACCUUUGCCCCUUCUACCUGGGCCAGUCAGGAGAGUCAUACUCGGGAAGAACAGGCCUGCCAGGUCAUCUCUCCAGGCUGGGCUUUAGUCCAGUACUGUUUGCAUCAGACCCAUAACUGCUGGCUCUGCUUAGAGUGACAGUUUUGCUGAAGGUUCUUUAUCUCCUCUCCUGACAUCCUCUAGGCUCUUGCCUGGAGCCAAGAGGUCUGUGGUGAGGUAUGGAUAGGGUGUGGAUCAGGAGAAUCUCAACUCCUUGGCUUCAGGCACACUGUCCAGCUGGGAGGCAGAGGGGAACUUGUACUCUGAAGCCUGUGACUCCUCUAAGCCUCACAUCUCUUCACCACUACUCUGGUGCCCUGGUUAUCUGUCCCACAGCGAGAGGUAUUUUAUGUCCAUAAAGUGCCCGUGGUAAGUGCUCAGAAUUCAUCUCUUGGCUGUGGCGGGUGCUGCUAUUUCUCAUUCCAUCGAGGGGAAGAAACUGAGGCACAGUGAGUCCAGAGGAUGGUGGGUCAGGAUUAUGGGAGGAAUGAAUAGGCCCAGCUAGUGACUUGGAGUGGCAACAAGUCCCUGCCUGUUUCCUAGCCUUCCAAACCAGGGAGUCUCCAUCCUUCUAAUCCUCUGCUCUAACUGGCCUUGUCAGAUGCUUUUUCCUUCCCCAUUGUAUUGUCCCCUCCCUGCUGCCAGGUACUGCUAGAUUCCAAAAAUAAAAGAUAAAAAUAAUUA